GAUUUCCACAUAUUUCGUUCUAAUAGUAGAGUAUACAUAAUGACAUAAUUUUCAUAUUUGAGCCAAACUUGCCAUCAUUACAAUUGCAUUACAUAAUUCUUUCACUCAUAUUUGAAAAACAACCAACUUCUUUUGACUAGUGGUAACUUACUUUGUAUAAUUCUUGGUUGUCGGCCAAACAAGAAACGACGCUCUCCAGAUUAAUCAUUUUGCAAGAGCAAGGCCUGCAACUCUGGCUGCACUAGAGUCAGAGUGGUCUGUUUGGUAACUCUCAUUGUACUACUGGUGGCUCAGGGGGUCCUCGGGCUAUUGGCAUACUGCCACCAUCAGUUUUAGGCUUAGCAUAGUCCACAAAGACAACUCGUCCAUUAAGAGGCUUGCCAUUCAUUUCUUGCAAGGCCUUCUCCGCUUCAUCUUCAGAUGCAUAGGUGACGAAUCCAAAACCCUUGGAUCUGUCUGAGACUCUAUCCGUCACAAUUUUAGCUUCAAUAACUUGACCAUGUUGAGAAAAUGCCUCUGACAGUGCCUUCUCUGUGGUGUAAAAUGAGAGGCCUCCAACAAAUAGCUUAGAAGCUAUGCCUCUUCGAGAAAGGAAAAUUGUAGAGUUUGAUAUUACAACACUUGUAUUUUUGGGUAAUAAUAAUUUUCUCAAGGCAGCCAUUGUUGUGCUGUGUAGAGAGAGAG
rnacentral:misc_RNA from 1 species